GACAGAGGUGCCAAGCGUUAGGCGGAAUCACUGGGCUUAAAGCGUGUGUAGGCGGAAUUGUAAGUACCUUGUGAAAUCCCACGGCUCAACCGUGGAACUGCUCGGUAUACUGCUUUUCUUGAGCCACUUAGGGGCUACCGGAACAAAUGGUGGAGCGGUGAAAUGCGUAGAUAUCAUUUGGAACGCCAAUGGUGAAAACAGGUAGCUGGGGCUGUGCUGACACUGAGACACGAAAGCCAGGGGAGCAAACGGG
rnacentral:rRNA from 1 species